CCUACGGGAGGCUGCAGUGGGGAAUAUUGGACAAUGGGGGGAACCCUGAUCCAGCCAUGCCGCGUGUGUGAAGAAGGCCCUCGGGUUGUAAAGCACUUUCAGUGAGGAAGAACGCCUGGUGGUUAAUACCCAUCAGGAAAGACAUCACUCACAGAAGAAGCACCGGCUAACUCCGUGCCAGCAGCCGCGGUAAUACGGAGGGUGCGAGCGUUAAUCGGAAUUACUGGGCGUAAAGCGCGCGUAGGUGGCUUGAUAAGCCGGUUGUGAAAGCCCCGGGCUCAACCUGGGAACGGCAUCCGGAACUGUCAAGCUAGAGUGCAGGAGAGGAAGGUAGAAUUCCCGGUGUAGCGGUGAAAUGCGUAGAGAUCGGGAGGAAUACCAGUGGCGAAGGCGGCCUUCUGGACUGAAACUGACACUGAGGUGCGAAAGCGUGGGUAGCAAACAGGAUUAGAUACCCCUGUAGUC
rnacentral:rRNA from 1 species